CACCUGUUCCCAUGCCGAACACAGAAGUUAAGCUUCUAAACGCCGAUAGUAGUUGAGGGAUCGCCCUCUGCAAGGGUAGGAAGUCGCCGCGCG
rnacentral:rRNA from 1 species